rnacentral:rRNA from 1 species
CCCUUAGAGUUUGAUCCUGGCUCAGGAUGAACGCUAGCUACAGGCUUAACACAUGCAAGUCGAGGGGCAGCAUGGUCUUAGCUUGCUAAGGCUGAUGGCGACCGGCGCACGGGUGAGUAACACGUAUCCAACCUGCCGUCUACUCUUGGCCAGCCUUCUGAAAGGAAGAUUAAUCCAGGAUGGGAUCAUGAGUUCACAUGUCCGCAUGAUUAAAGGUAUUUUCCGGUAGACGAUGGGGAUGCGUUCCAUUAGAUAGUAGGCGGGGUAACGGCCCACCUAGUCAACGAUGGAUAGGGGUUCUGAGAGGAAGGUCCCCCACAUUGGAACUGAGACACGGUCCAAACUCCUACGGGAGGCAGCAGUGAGGAAUAUUGGUCAAUCGGCGAUGGCCUGAACCAGCCAAGUAGCGUGAAGGAUGACUGCCCUAUGGGUUGUAAACUUCUUUUAUAAAGGAAUAAAGUCGGGUAUGCAUACCCG